UGGGGAAUCUUCGGCAAUGGGGGCAACCCUGACCGAGCAACGCCGCGUGAGUGAAGAAGGUUUUCGGAUCGUAAAGCUCUGUUGUAAGAGAAGAACGUGUGUGAGAGUGGAAAGUUCACACAGUGACGGUAACUUACCAGAAAGGGACGGCUAACUACGUGCCAG
rnacentral:rRNA from 1 species